CCUACGGGAGGCAGCAGUGGGGAAUAUUGGGCAAUGGUCGCAAGCCUGACCCAGCAACGCCGCGUGAAGGAAGAAGGCUCUCGGGUUGUAAACUUCUUUUCUCAGGGACGAAGCAAGUGACGGUACCUGAGGAAUAAGCCACGGCUAACUACGUGCCAGCAGCCGCGGUAAUACGGAGGGGGCCAGCGUUCUCCGGAUUUACUGGGUGUAAAGGGCGUGUAGGCGGGACUGCAAGUCAGAUGGGAAAACCACGGGCUCAACCUGUGGCCCGCAUUUGAAACUGUCGUUCUUGAGUACUGGAGAGGCAGACGGAAUUCGCAGUGUAGCGGUGAAAUGCGUAGAUAUUAGGAAGAACACCAGUGGCGAAGGCGGUCUGCUGGACAGCAACUGACGCUGAGGCGCGAAAGCGUGGGGAGCAAACAGGAUUAGAUACCCCUGUAGUC
rnacentral:rRNA from 1 species